rnacentral:rRNA from 1 species
CACGUAGGGCGCAAGCGUUGUCCGGAAUUAUUGGGCGUAAAGAGCUCGUAGGUGGUUUGUUACGUCUGCUGUGAAAACCUAGGGCUUAACCCUGGGCUUGCAGUGGAUACGGGCAGACUAGAGGUAGGUAGGGGAGAAUGGAAUUCCUGGUGUAGCGGUGAAAUGCGCAGAUAUCAGGAGGAACACCGGUGGCGAAGGCGGUUCUCUGGGUGCCACCUGACACUGCUAGGACGAAAGCGUGGGGAGCGAAUGGG